GUAAGAAAAGUAUAUCAUUGUGUUGGAAAAUCAAUGCACUUCCCUUAACUGUAUAAUUCAAAAUUUCAUCAUAAACUUAAAUUACCAACCAACCGUUGAUGCCGCAAAAUAAUUGAUGGAAAGAAAAUCAAUUACUUUUAAUUCUGAAUAUUCUAAAUUUGAAGCCAAGAAAAUAUUUAAGUUUAAUCAAAAUGAAAAUAAACAUGUUAUACCAAAUAAAUAAUAUAAUUCAAAUGAAAAUAAACAUGUUAUACCCAAACAUAAUUCACAGGUUUAACCAAGUAUAGUAAAUAUUUUCUAUAUGUUUAACAGAAAAAAUAUAACUGAUGCGACCAUCUCUAAAAGUAUAUUUAUUCAUGACCAAUAAUAAUAGUAUAUCAAUUAGUAUAUUUAUUAUGCUCUAAGAGAAAAACAUGAAAAUAUAUAUAUAAUGUGUAGAUAUAUGUAUACUAAAUGAUAUAUGUAUAACACGUAGAUAUAUAAAUAUAUAAUGUCACUACAUUACAUAUACUAUUGUCCUGAACAAAAACAAAUGUCAUUUAUUGAGUCAUACGAAAGAACAUGAAAUUGAAUAUAAAUCAAAAAAAGUAAAUAUGAAAAACUUUCAAUCUGACAUAUAUAUCAAAAACUACUUCAACGUCAGAUUAUAGUGCCAAUAGUUCUGAACAAUCGACUUACUUUUGAAGAGUAAAUCAUGAAUUUUAUUUAUUCAUGAUGAAACCAUUGCUAAGAUUACAGAAAUUAUUUAUUCUUGAACAUUGGUAAGAGUAUAUCAUAUAAAAAUGGUACCAAGAGGUUAUACAGCCAAACAAAUAACAUUACAGUCCGUUUAUGUAUAAAAUUAAUUUGGUUAACUAAAGUUAAUACAUUUAUUCGUUUGAUAAUCAUCCCACAAGUCUUGUAAUAUAUUAUAAGGGAAGUCUUGUAACAAAUAUGUCCAAUGGCAUUCUAUUGUAAUUACUCUAGUAAACUAUGACUAUUUUAAUAAAGGGGUUGAGAAGGGCUAUGAAGUUGCCACAUCAGUAAUGGCAUUUCUGUUAAUAACACAUAAAGUAAAGGUUAGUUAUUAAAAGUGUUCCUCAAAUAAUAAGAAAGGGAUUUAUACUGCAAUCAUCUUGCAUCCAAUUCAAACUCAAAAUGAAGUGCAAUCUUGAGUAUCAAAGAACUGCAUUUAAUAUACAUUGGCUUUGCAUGCCAUUGUUUUAUCUGCAUAAAAGCAGUUCUACCGCAUGCCAUGCAGUCCACACGCUUUAGAGUUAUUCGGAAAUUGCUUCUUCUUUUUUCUAUCCAAUACAUGAUUUCUAAAUUAAAUUAUUGAAAAUUCUUUAUUUAUGAAUUAUAAAUAACAACAACUUUUUUUUCUAUGUUCAAUCGUUAUUUAAAUAUAUGGUAUACUUUUACCAUUCAUAAUUAUAUUUAAAUCAUUUGAUCUGCUAUAUCUACACUUAUCCCACUUGAUUUGUAUUAUCUACACUUAUCGCACUUGUUCUGCAUGAUCUGUUGCACCGCUUGAACUGCUUUUAUCGUUUGAAGCCAUAGUGGAUGAGAUCUCCAUGCCGUUCAUCUGCCUUUUUUAGAAAAAAAACAAAUUGUCUCAAUUCCCCUAUUUAAUUGCAGAACAAAAUUAGAUGUAUAAAAUAAUAAAUAUAUGCAUCUAUAAUAAAUUUGUUCAUAUAUAUAAUGAUAUGUAGGAGAAAAAUGAAUUGCACCCAAAGCAUGUUGAGGCCCGGUAAAAUUAGUUUGUUUUAUCUGGAUUUUUAUCUAUAAAUAUCCAUGUUGGAAAUUGUACUAGGCGCGAGUCGGGCUGAUGGUCCAGGUCUAGCGAAUUGUAAAAAAAAUUAGAGAUUAAUCGUCGAUUAUUCAUGGAGCAUUUUUGAUUUUCUUAUACAUAAGAUAUAAUUCUUAACAAUUUAUAGAAUAAAAUACCGAAAGUUGAUGUGGUAUGAUGGUUAUUGGGACACUAAAGCACAACAUGUAAUUGUUUAAAGCUAAGAUGUUUUUUUUUUUGUUUUUUCACAUUUUAUUCAUUAAUGUCAUAAUUACUGUAAUUAUUUCAUCUUCCUCCUAUAGACAUUUUAGGGUACGUAAAAACUUACAGAGCCACCGUAUCCAUGCUUUUCACAAAUCUCAUCAGUUUUUGCGUUUUUAUUGUUGUUUAUGUUUCAAACUUAUAGAUUUAGUAUGUAACACCCGAUUUAAGCUUUUAGACAUCAAAAACAUGAAUUAUUUGAGUGAGUCCGAUUCAAAAUCAAACAUAUCUUAUCUCGAAGUACAUUUCAUAUACCUUUCAGUUUUCUUAAUAAUUUAUUUUAUUUUCUAAAAAUACUUUUAGAUAUAUCAUCUUCUAUAUUAAUAUAAAAUUCUAUAUAUUUAGAUAACAUGUUCAUAAUCUUAUGUAAACUAUUUUAUUAAAUAAUAUUUUUAUAUCAUCUAAGAAUGUAUACCUACACAAAAUAAUUAUAUAAUAUUUCGUUAAAGAAACAUAUAUAUGAAUAGUUAAUAUAGAUAAAAUAAUGUUAAUCAUAUUAUGAUUGAAGAAAAUAAUAUGAAAAAAACAAAAAAUUAGACAAAAACAUUUUAUGACUAACAUUAGAGAAAUCAUUGUAAAUAUAUAGACAAAAAAAACUUUUUAUAUCAAUUUUAUAUUAAUUUCUUCAGCAUUCAAUCAAAUAUGAUGAUUUUGUAAAAUUAGUUUUUUACAGUUAGAUAUCACUUAUAAAAAAUAGCUGAUUCUUGACAAAAAGUACCAUCGGGUCUAUUUCCUCCGAAACAAUAUUUUUUUCAAGAAUUCGUCGGAUUUCUGAUGACUGUUUCACAUUUUCAUUUUCAAUAUGAAUUGUUUAUAAAUUUUUGCGAUGAAUUUCCGAUAAAAUUUUAUUUUAAAAAAAAAAUUACACCAACAGAAAUAAAUUUAUAAAAGAAUUUUGAUAAAAUAUUAAAAAAUUUAAAUAUUAAAAUUAUAACAUAUAUCCUUAAAUAUUAUUUCGUCUAUAUUUGGUUGGCAUUUUGGCGAGCCACAAUUUCAGUUCUGACAAACGUUUAGUUCAUUGAAAUUUGGUCAGCAGUCCGUUGAAUUUUUUUUACAUAUUUUCUGUUAUAAAUUCCUAUGUUUUCUUAUAGUAUAUGCAAUUGAAGUAUAUUUAUUUUUUCUACAUAAUCAUUGAUCUGCAUUAUAUUCUUAAUAUGGAUUUUUUGAUCUAUGUACCCAUUCGAAGCCAAAAAACUAAAAUCUAUGCAGGUUUCAUGUCUUUUAGUUUUUAAGUUUAGAAAAACAUGGCAACUUACAUAAAAGAGCAGAUGCAAAAAAUUUGUCAUUAUCAUGCGUCACCAUUUUUCGAUUGGUAAAAGCAGUUCAAGUAGUGCAUAUACAACAUAUCAUGCAGUUCAAAUGAGAUAAGUGCAGAUCAUACAUAUCAAGUGGGAUACAUAUAUUCAAAUCAAGCAGGUCAAAUGAUUUAACAUAAUUGUGAAUGGUAAAAGCAGUACAAAAAUCAGAUUAUAUUUAAGUAAUGAGUGAGAAUAGGAAAAAGAGUUGUUGUUAUUUAUAGAAGAUAAAUAAAAAAAUUUCAAUUAAUUUAAUUUACAAAAUCAUGUAUUGGGUAGAAAAAGAAGAAGUAAUCGCCGAAUAGCUACAAAAGUUGUGUGGACUGUGGGAACCAAAAUUCACACCGUCGAUUUCCGUUUAAAUAAGGAAACUAGGAAAACCCUAAUUUCCCAGAGGACCCGGAUAUCUGCUAAUUACCACACGUAAAGCAAUCAGAACACGAGAAUAACAACGAUAAAGAAUAAGAAAUCGAAAAAGAGA